GACUGUCAGCAUGACCUAUUAGAGACAUAGUGGUAAUCCCCAACCUCUUGUCUAUCACAGAUCCCAGAUCAUAGGAAUGCAGUCAUUGUGGUCAAGUCUCCAUCCUCAGCUAAGAGAGAAGCCAGUCCAUUGGAGAGAGAAGGAACAAAAGCACAGAAAAAUGAGCAUGCUUGGUUGAUUCUCUCCUUUUCCUGAGGUGUAUCAAAAUCCUGAUCUUCUUGAAGGUGAGAAAUAAGGUCCUGACUCUUCCAUGGUUAAAUUUUCCAUUCUGAAGAAACAAGGACAUGUUCCCUGAAGAAUGUAAAGAAGCUUGGUGUGAACUGACUCAAUAAAAUGAAGCCUAGGAUAAAAGUCAGAACUGAUGCUGGAGCCAUCAUCUGGGGUCAUGGAGAGUGAACUGAAGGAGACAUGCCAGUGUGAUGUGCAGCUUAUCAGGAAGAGGGAGAGAUAGCUGCAACAGUGAGACACCUUCAGUCCUCAGAUAUUUAAGACUUGCAGCUUCUUGAUAGUGCACCAAAGAUGCCAGUCUGGGAGGGGACUGAAGCCAAUCCAGCUCCUGAGGAUUGUUCACAUACUCAGAUUUCUUGCCUGAGGCAGAGUGUCCCCAAGUGCCUCAUGGGACCUCCAGAAAAAGAAGACAUGUUUCCUGUUACUCUCAAAGGCACUGCAGAUUUCUGGCUGCAGGUUCUGAUGCUUUUGUGAUGAAUUUUCCAACUGUAGAAAAGUCAGGGCUCAACCCUCUCUCUCACCACGAAAAAUUUGAUCUCCCAAGAUGAAACCUUAGAACCAGGACAAAAUGUAAGCAGAGGUUAAUAGUUAAGGUGCAAAACUGUCUUGAAUAGGAGGAACAUUAGUCAGCCCUAGACAUUUAGCAGCACUGAUUCUGGUUUUUGCUUUGGAGGUGCUGAGAAUGGAACCCAGGGCCAUGGACAUGAUAGCUAAGCAUUCCAGCACACAGCAACACCACCAGCUCAGUGCUGCUGUCUUUAAGACUCAUGUGGAAUUGUUAGACUUAAUGUGUCAGUAAUCUGAUUUUCAUUUCAAACCUAAUUUAAUUUGUUUGCAUGCAGAGAGAUCCAUGCAUGAGUAGAAGUAUACUUUAGACGUUGAUAUCAUACUACUGAGAAAAUGAAAGAUCUGUGGGGCUAAUGAUUGUUUUAGUGUUACGUUGGUAAUAUUAUGAGUGAAUUACAUAGAUAUGUAUGAUAAAUUAAUUAUAUUUCAUAGUAAAAAUAUUUAAAUAUGUAAAACAUUAACAAAUACCAAACUGCUAAAUAUAUGCUUGUAUUAAAGUAGGAUUUGCUAUAGACUAGACUAUCCACCAAGAGAAAUCAAGAGAAGUUCUAUAUUUAGGAUAAACAAGCCAUACUCUGAAUUGCUGUUUGUGUUCUCUUAACAACAGCAACAAUAUGAAGAAAUAAAGACUUUAAGCAACUACUGUAAGGCUGGACAUGAGUCCUGGUGCAUUCCUCUCUUAGAGAAGUUCCUAAGGCAUAAUGGAAAACAUUAUGAAAUUUUUUCAAAAACUUGAAAGAACUGCCAUAUAAUUGAUCUAGCAACCCCCCAUUUGUUUGUCGAUGAAUAAAGAAUAUGUGAAGAGUGUG